GCUGACGACACGGAGACACGGAGAGAGGCAUUUCUGACACACACACCCCAAAACACAUACUUGUACACAUACACACCCUGAAUCCAGACAUCCAGAAAACCUUUGGAUAUGAGGGUUUAAGACAUAAUCGACACACAACUUGUACACAAGUUAAAUAGACCAUAUGAGCAGUGUGAGAAAAAACACAUGACCAGUCUGAGGACAUUGACGAGGCAACGCUGGGUACGUAUGGUUUUUAGACAUCCAUCAUGACACUAGGACACAGUCACAAAAUAAACAUGUUCAGUUAACAAAUAAGAAAUGGUCAGUUUUCCAUUCACACAACAUGUGUGAUGCUUUUACUAGCAUUUUAUCAGUGUUUUCCCCAGCGGAUACGCUCUGGGGUUGAGAAAACGGUCACACUCUUCACUUCCAAUUUGAUCCAUAUAAUAGCCCAUUUCCCUAGACAUUCCAGUUAGAUCUGAGAGGGUCAGAUUGGUUUAAGCAAUAUGGUAAUAGCUCCAUUUCCCCCUCUGAUUGGCUAGGUCAAAGCAUUACCAUAUUAGUGACACCUAUCUUUAAAAAAAAUAUAUAUUAUCUAGAGAAGUACCUUGGGUUAGAGGCUGGGGGUAGAUUUGGAAUUCCACACUAUUCUGUUGUGAGAACGAAUUAUGAUGAAGUCACCCUAGACAUUGAUCUACGGUCAGCUUUGUAUUUCCCCCCAAUGGUUAAGGUUAGGAUUUGGGGAAGGUCAGCUGAUCCUAGACCUGUGCUUAGAGACAACUUCAACCAGGAACCUACUGUAGUGUUGUAUGUACAUCGUAUGUUUACAGUGCAGUUGGACCAUGGCACGUAGUAGCCAUCUUUCCAAUCACAACGUCACUGCACUGUGGACACCUUUACUGACAGUCACGGCACCACGCUCUCUGAGAUAACCAAAUCUCUCUCAGAGGAGUUGAAACACAAAACAAACACUGAACGGUGGCAACAAUGUAACUGUGGUUGACAGAAGUCAGAUAAAAAAAGACUGAGAAGACGUUCACACAUCCUUAAUGAUGUUAUAUUAGGUCUCACACCAAUAUCAGCCUGCUUUUUGGUGAUAGGCACAAGUGUUCUUUGUAGAUAGAUAGAGACAGAGAGAGACAGAGAGAUAUAUAUAAAGAGCGUAAUACUCAAUAGUAUUAGUUGCCCAUAAACAACUUUUAAAGUGAGCAAAUUAUAAAAUGCCCAUAUAGCAGUAAACUAUCAAUUUAAGGGGGAUAGCUUGAUAGAUGUACUAUCCCUUUAAGGGGGAUAGCCAGAUAGAUGUACUAUCCCUUUAAGGGGGAUAGCCAGAUAGAUGUACUAUCCCUUUAAGGGGGAUAGCCAGAUAGAACCACUACAAGGGAUAGUACAUUUAUCUCUGAUUUUGCUAUAGCGCAGAAAUGUGGACCAACUCUCAAUGCGUGAACACGAUAAGGAAGGAGUGAAGUUGUACCUCGGUACAGACCAGAAUUUCACUCUGACCCCCUUUUCCUUAUAUGGCCAUUGUUUGUUCAGUCUAUUGCUUGUGCUUUCGUGAGCUGUGAAAAUGAAUUUCCACUGUAAGUACAACUAAUCUUGAUCGACACACACUCACCCUCACCCCUGUAGACACAGAUAUACCGUAGUGUAUACAAUACGUGUCUCUUAUGCUGGUAGGGCGAUGCAGACCCAUGUUUGGCAAUAUGCACAUCUGAUGGAUACCAAAAGGUCAAAUGCCUUGCGUGCCUCACAUUCCUCUCAUUAACUACCCUCACACUACUCCAGCGCCCACUAACACACUCCCCCAGUACCCACCUUACACACACACUCCCCCAGUACCCACCUUACACACACACACUCCCCCAGUACCCACCCUACACACACCAUGGGUCAUGUUUGGCGUAAAUUAACCAGUCUGCAACCUUUACAGCCAGUGGGGCACUUCUGUUUUCUCAGGGCUUGUUACAGGAAUGUUUACCGUGACCAUGGCAACAACUCAGUGGUGGAAGACGUCAUUCCAAAGGCUUUUCUCCAGAAUGCUUUACCAGCGUUCCCGAACAGCGUCAGAGAGCCUUGUUGUGGAGAAGCUGUCACUGGAGACGUCAACCAUGGAGUCAUCGUAGGAGCCGGACAUGGCUGCUGCCCUCGGUACCCACAAUCCUCAGGGGCUGAAACACACAGUCAACAACACCAUAACACACAGCAGACUGGCUGUUCUACAGACUGGCUGCAGGGGACAGGACAGCACUGAGGUCUUCAAAAGUGCUAUUUUUAUUGCAUUGAAUAAAAGUUUUACUUUCUACCCUAGCUGGGUCUUUCCUUA